GACGAACCGAGCGAACGUUGUUCGGAAUCACUGGGCUUAAAGGGCGCGUAGGCGGGCUGUCAAGUCCGGGGUGAAAUCUUUCGGCUUAACCGGAAAAGUGCCUUGGAUACUGACAGUCUCGAGGGAGGUAGGGGCAGCUGGAACUUCCGGUGGAGCGGUGAAAUGCGUUGAUAUCGGAAGGAACUCCGGUGGCGAAAGCGAGCUGCUGGACCUCUUCUGACGCUGAGGCGCGAAAGCUAGGGGAGCAAACGGG
rnacentral:rRNA from 1 species